UCGGACUCAGCACGCGACGCGUUCAGAACGAAAGAAAGAAAGAAGGAAAUAAGGAAAGAAUAAUCGUAACAGCAGACCACAAACGGGUAUGACAAAAGACUCUCUUCUGGUUAAGGAUGAGCGAACCCUCGGGGGUCAGUGAAGUGCCACAAUAAAACAACAACAAACAAAGUCACAACUUUAAGCAUGGAAAAUUCUCGACUCUAGCAGUGGAUAAAGGAGAACGAACCGAACCAAGCCGAACCGAACGGAGCCUCACCUCACGUUAGCCCAGCUGUCAAACGUACAAAAAUAAACAUUUGUGCCGCCUCGCAUAUGGUUCAUUAAAAGUGUGGCAGAACUUUGGCACUGCCAACAAUAACAAAAAAGGCAAAACCCAAAGCCAACAACGACAACGACCUGUAGAACAAUGUUCCAACAAUUGUGCGGGUAAUUUGCAGCUUGGCUUAAUUUUGGUGUACGGCUGAGCAUGCGCCCGGCCCGACCCGGCCCCAGUCUAUGGUCUAUGGUCUAUGGUCCCUGGUCGCUUUGUCAUUCGAAAGUUGCCUCUGCGUGACACACAUUUUACGCAUUAGACUUGGAGUUGGACUCCACUCCACUCCGAGCUGCACACAGUCACUGCUACAGCCAGACAAGUUGGAGCUGGACUGAGCUUAGCUGCAUCUGCCCUGCCACCACCACUGGAGAGAAAAACAAAAACGAAACAAAGGAGAAGGAGAAGCUUUAGCUAUCCAUCGCCCAAACCCAAAGUCGGGCUCUCUGUUGCAUUAUUCAUGCUCUUCUUCUUUGAAGCAACGGGA